UGGUGGAGUGAUUUGUCUGCUUAAUUGCGUUAACGAACGAGACCUUAACCUGCUAAAUAGUUAUGCCAACUGUUGUUGGUAGUCAACUUCUUAGAGGGACUGUCGGCGACUAGCCGACGGAAGUUUGAGGCAAUAACA
rnacentral:rRNA from 1 species